CGGUGGGCACUCUAAGGAGACUGCCGGUGACAAACCGGAGGAAGGUGGGGAAUGACGUCAAGUCAUCAUGGCCCUUACGGCCUGGGCUACACACGUGCUACAAUGGUCGGUACAAAGGGUUGCCAAGCCGCGAGGUGGAGCUAAUCCCAUAAAACCGAUCGUAGUCCGGAUCGCAGUCCGCAACUCGACUGCGUGAAGUCGGAAUCGCUAGUAAUCGUGAAUCAGAAUGUCACGGUGAAUACGUUCCCGGGCCUU
rnacentral:rRNA from 1 species